rnacentral:lncRNA from 1 species
CUCUUGUUUGCCUGGGUGCGCCAUCCCAGCCCUCUCAUUUCAUCAUUUCACAAUGUUCCCAGAGAGAAACUUCCCUUGUCUUUGGCAACAUGAGAAAAUCAAGGACAAGUCAGUGAGUUUUUCCUUUAAGUUCACUUUUUUUUUUUUUCAAGCUGCAAAGACUAUCUUUUGUUCAGAUUUUUGGCCUUCUUCCAUUUUUAGCAUGAAGUGUGUUCUGCCUUUGAUGACAGAAUAGUGACGAUGGGCAAGCCACCGCUUCGUUGCUUGCUUGUGUUUCAGUGUCCUUAGGUGGCAAAAUAGAACGCUGGAAUCCUUAUGUAAGCUCCAGAUUACUGGAAACUUCCCUCGUCUAUGAAAUCUCAAAGUCUGGGAACCACUGCUGUGGAAUUUACAAAACAUUUUCAGGCACAUAAUCUCACUCAUUUCCCAUUUGACAGGUAGUGACAGAUAAUAAGGCUCCAGGAUAUUUUUUUUGACUUGGCCAAGGUCACAUGGCUGGGAAACAGGGAAGGCAGGACUUCCCAUCGAAAGCCACGCCUGCUUACCACGAGGAAUAACUGAGACUCUUUUCUCUAGCACGGGAAUCUCACACUGAGUCCCCCAUUUCAGAGCAGCCGUCAGUCUAAAAUGGGUCUGUCUUCUCCUCCUGUAGGAGUACAGUGUGUGCUGUUCUCAACGAACGCCCCCCUCCCAGCACCCUUUAGGUGCUGUGGAUGCCCCUGAAACAAGGCCUCAGACUUGGCUUGGACUAUGGGUUCCAUCCAUAGGGUUGGCCUCAUUGAUCAGCGUUACAGGAAGGCUUCGAGGUGGCUCCCUGUGACCGUGUUGUGAGCAAACCAUUCCUGGCAUCCCACCUUGCAGGUGAGGAGACUGCCUCCUAGCCGUGGGCAGAACCACCCCUCCGCCCCUGCAUGGAGUGUGUAUAUAUAUAUACACAGAGCUAGAUGGAAAGAGACUAAUUUUGCAAAAUCUGCACAAAAAUCGGCUGAAUUUAUGUUUCCCCUGCAAGAGAAAUGCUGCUGAGUGGAAAUAAAAUGCAGGAUUCCUGGGUACUUCUAUUACCUUUUCAUGUCACUGGCAGUGACUGAUGGCAAAAAGUAAGAUUGCAAACGGAAUCGUUUUUGCUUUGCCCGGAACAAACUCCGCCCGGCGAUGGAGCCUCCUUCAAAUCUGCAGUUCUCCCUAGUGUCACCAACAGCAGCCGAGAAAGAAGCUGGGAGAGCAGCCAGUGUGGAGGAGAGAGCGUUCACCCAGCCCAGGCCCUGGGGGUCCGUCCUUCACCUCAAAGCAGGGGCCCCUGCGGGCAAAAGGAAAUCCAGUUUGAUUUAAUAUGGUUCAUUUUUCUUCCUUGUUUUAAUCACGGAGUAAAAAUAAUAAUAAACUCGCCUUUAUAUAGUGUC